CACGUAGGGUCCGAGCGUUGUCCGGAAUUACUGGGCGUAAAGCGCGUGUAGGCGGCCCGAUAAGUCCGCUGUGAAAGUCCAGGGCUCAACCCUGGGAUGCCGGUGGAUACUGUCGGGCUCGAGUCCGGAAGAGGCGAGUGGAAUUCCUGGUGUAGCGGUGAAAUGCGCAGAUAUCAGGAGGAACACCAAUGGCGAAGGCAGCUCGCUGGGACGUGACUGACGCUGAGACGCGAAAGCGUGGGGAGCAAACAGG
rnacentral:rRNA from 1 species